UACGUAGGUGGCAAGCGUUGUCCGGAUUUACUGGGUGUAAAGGGAGCGCAGGCGGGGCGGCAAGUCAGCUGUGAAAUACAUGGGCUUAACCCAUGGACUGCAGUUGAAACUGUCGUUCUUGAGUGAAGUAGAGGUAGGCGGAAUUCCGAGUGUAGCGGUGAAAUGCGUAGAUAUUCGGAGGAACACCAGUGGCGAAGGCGGCCUACUGGGCUUUAACUGACGCUGAGGCUCGAAAGUGUGGGGAGCAAACAGG
rnacentral:rRNA from 1 species